rnacentral:lncRNA from 1 species
GGGCGACAGAGCAAGACUCCAUCUCAAAAACAAAACAAAACAAAACAAAAACUCUUUGCCUUGUAAAUAGCCUGCCUUUUUCAAAAAAAUCAAUAUUAUCAAAUGAUACAAGAGCUAUCACAAAAGGCACCCAAACUUCUGAAUAUGUGAGACCUUUAGCUGAGAACAUUUGUAUCUAAUUUUGAACAAUCCUAUUCAAAAAGCUCCUAUUUUCGUUAAUGGAAAUGCCAUGUUUCUCUUAGAGUUACGAAAGAUCUCAGAAAGUGGCAAAAGAUAUUUAAUGUAGCCAGAGCUAUAUAUUUCUGUUUUUCUCGUACUUCAAGUAUUCUGAAAAACAUAUAACUGACCUUGGUGGUGUUCACAAUGGGAUGAAACAGUAUCUUAGGAAUUGACUUUGAAAUUAGUAUGGAAAUUCAUUGUUUUUAAUAUAACAUUGAGCAACAGAAAGCCUUGAAUGAUAAGAUCAAGAGUCUCCCCUGCCAUUAUUUUCAAUGGCAAAAACUGCAAUUACUUUUUUUUUUUUUUUGAGAUGAAGUCUCAGCUCACUGCAACUCUGUCUCCCAGGUUCAAGCGAUUCUCCCUCCUCAGCCUCCUGAGUAGCUGGGAUUACAGGUGCCCGCCUUGAUGCUUGGCUAAUUUUUGUAUUUUUAGUAUAGACAAGGUUUCACCAUGUUGGUCAGGCUGGUCUCAAACUCCUGACCUCAAGUGAUCCGCCCACCUUGGCCUCCCAAAUGCAAUUACUUUUGCACCAACCUAAGAACAGUAAUCUCAGUCAAUAGUGGCUUAAACCAUUAGAACCAAAACCAGGCAGAGAUCAGAGAAGGUUCAACGCUCAACAAUGUUAUCAAGAACCCAGCUUCUUUUUGCCUUUUCUUUUCACCAUCCUCUGCAUGUUGGCCAUCUGACCCUGUGCUUGAAACCUCAUGGUCACAAAAUGGCUGCCCCUGUGCUGGACAUCAUAUUUCUUUUCAAAGAAGGUAGAAUGGGAAAGGAGCAGUCAUAAAAGGUUUUCUUUCAGAAGAGUCUGUUGGUUUUGGUUAGAAAAGGAAGUCCCCUGGCAGAUUUACCAUUGCUUCUCAUUGAUCAGACCUGGGUGUCAUGCCCAUCCCAGCAUGAGUCCUGCUGUAGGGCUGGAAGGAAGGGCCUACGAGCACCAAGGGAUACCCACAGCCUCCUGAACACAAAAUUGGGAUUCUGUUAGCACAGAAGAAGGAUAGCAAUGGCUGUUGGAUGGGCGAUGGUUGCAAGGAGCCUGCCGUGGAUGUGUAGGCCACAGAGCUCUCAUCAGCACUGUUUUCGUGGCCAGGAACAGAAAUUCUACUCAGGAUAAUUAAAAUUAAGGAACAGAGCUUUAUUAUAAGACUGGGAUCGGUAGUUAAUUUCCUACAGGGGAAAUUCAGGGCAUGUAAAUCAGUGAAAUGGAAAAGGUGUAAGGACAAGAGAAACACCAGCCCUGUCUGCAGGGGGGGGCUGCAACUCCCUUCCAGCUGAUGUUGUUCCACCAUGGGUCCAGUGUGACCAGAUCUUACAAUGUUCAAAAGAGGAGUCUAGGUUUUUCUGUGAAAUCUCCAAAUAUUAGUAUAUUGGAUCAAAAAUGUUCAAAUGAUGUGUGAGCUCAAUAAAAUGCAUCUGCAGUGCAGCUUUGGUUGAUGGGCUGAUGGUUCACUCUGACAGUUUAGAGAGAUUGCAUAGGAAUAAAGUACAGCCUGGUGUCAUUCAGAGGAACAGGGAUCUGGGAAACCACUGGGGCCCAAGACAGCUGCCCCUCUGAAUCUGUGGCUCUUGUUUCUUCCCUUUUCUGGCAGAAAUGAGUCUAGCUUCCAUCUGUUUCCUUGUGGCUGCUGUGUAUGCAUAAUCAUGCACAGAGCUUCCAUAGCCUCAUAACCCAGCUCUGCAAACAUACCUGACUCAGCUGCUCAGUGCCCCACUCCCAGAUCUUCAGGAAUGAAGCUGAUUGGCCCAGUUUAGUGUUGGAUUGAGUCUUGGUCCAAUUCAAUUGGGUCAGGAAGAAGUGGUGGAGAGGUACAGACACGGUGGCAUUGGCCUGCCCUUUAGCAGGGUGGUGCAGACAAUUGCUGGUAUGCCUGGAAUCUGCAGUGACAUGUGCAUAAACUCUCAAGUCUAUUCAUCAGAACUCUCUUACAGAUCAUAACGUGGCAAGUGGUCAGUAUGCAUGGAAUAUCCAGCAUGUCCUGGACAUGUUAUUCAACACUGAGGAUGCAAAAUAUCAUAAGACAUGGUCCUGGCUGGGUGCAGUGGCUC